AGAAGUUAGGGGCUGCAGCGGCGCUGGCUUUAGGUGAACGACGUGAAAAUUACUUUUCCCACUGAAACACACCCAAGUAUAUGCCCAGCCUUCAUGAAAGUGAACAGAGAAACGAAGCGCCUUUAUGUGGGUGGCCUUAGCCAGGACAUUUCUGAGGCAGACCUACAAAAUCAGUUCAGCAGAUUUGGAGAAGUUUCGGAUGUGGAGAUCAUCACACGGAAAGAUGACCAAGGAAACCCACAGAAAGUUUUUGCAUAUAUCAACAUCAGUGUAGCAGAAGCGGACCUGAAAAAAUGUAUGUCUGUUUUAAAUAAAACAAAAUGGAAAGGUGGAACAUUACAAAUUCAACUAGCAAAAGAAAGCUUUCUGCACAGAUUGGCCCAAGAGAGAGAAGCAGCAAAAGCUAAGAAAGAAGAAUCAACAACAGGUAACGCCAACUUGUUAGAAAAGACAGGAGGAGUGGAUUUCCAUAUGAAAGCUGUGCCAGGGACAGAAGUGCCAGGGCAUAAGAAUUGGGUUGUGAGCAAAUUUGGAAGAGUCUUACCUGUUCUUCACCUUAAAAAUCAACAUAAACGUAAAAUCAUCAAAUAUGAUCCCUCAAAAUACUGCCACAACCUGAAGAAGAUAGGGGAGGAUUUCUCAAACACCAUUCCUAUAUCCAGCCUGACUUGGGAAUUAGAAGGAGGGAAUGACCCUAUGAGUAAGAAACGGCGAGGAGAGUUCUCUGACUUUCAUGGCCCUCCCAAGAAGAUAAUAAAAGUGCAGAAGGAUGAGAGUUCCACUGGGUCUCUGGCCAUGAGUACAAGGCCCAGGAGGGUAAUAGAGAGACCACCCUUAACACAGCAACAGGCUGCACAAAAAAGAACUUGUGAUUCCAUUACUCCUUCUAAAUCAUCUCCUGUACCUGUUUCUGAUACUCAGAAACUUAAAAAUCUACCUUUUAAGACUUCUGGCUUGGAAACUGCCAAGAAGAGAAACAGCAUUUCUGAUGAUGAUACUGAUUCUGAAGAUGAAUUGAGAAUGAUGAUUGCGAAAGAGGAAAACUUACAGAGAACUACACAACCCUCAAUAAAUGAAUCUGAAAGUGAUCCUUUUGAAGUUGUAAGGGAUGAUUUCAAAUCAGGCGUUCACAAACUGCAUUCUUUAAUAGGUUUAGGUAUCAAAAAUCGUGUCUCUUGCCAUGAUAGUGAUGAUGAUAUUAUGAGAAAUGAUCGUGAGUAUGACUCAGGAGAUACAGAUGAAAUUAUUGCGAUGAAAAAAAAUGUUGCUAAGGUCAAAAACAGUACAGAAUUUUCACAAAUGGAAAAAUCUACGAAGAAAACUUCUUUCAAAAAUAGAGAAAACUGUGAGCUUUCUGAUCACUGUAUUAAACUACAAAAAAGAAAAAGCAAUGUAGAGUCAGCCCUCAGUCAUGGAUUAAAGUCUCUUAAUCGUAAAUCUCCCUCUCACUCCAGUAGCAGUGAAGAUGCUGAUUCUGCAUCAGAAUUAGCUGACUCUGAAGGAGGUGAGGAGUAUAAUGCCAUGAUGAAAAACUGCCUUCGUGUGAAUCUCACUUUAGCUGAUUUGGAACAAUUGGCUGGCAGUGAUCUGAAGGUUCCAAAUGAAGAUACUAAGAGUGAUGGACCAGAAACCACCACCCAAUGCAAGUUUGACAGAGGCUCCAAGAGCCCCAAGACUCCCACUGGCCUCCGCAGAGGCCGACAGUGUAUUCGUCCUGCGGAGAUUGUGGCUUCCCUGUUAGAAGGAGAGGAGAACACCUGUGGCAAACAGAAACCAAAGGAAAACAAUUUAAAGCCAAAAUUUCAGGCUUUCAAGGGAGUAGGCUGUCUAUAUGAAAAGGAGUCAAUGAAAAAAUCCUUGAAAGACAGUGUUGCCUCUAACAAUAAAGAUCAGAAUUCCAUGAAACAUGAGGAUCCCAGUAUCAUAUCCAUGGAAGAUGGGUCCCCAUAUGUUAAUGGCUCAUUAGGUGAAGUGACUCCAUGCCAACAUGCAAAGAAGGCGAAUGGCCCAAACUAUAUUCAGCCUCAAAAAAGACAGACCACUUUUGAAAGCCAGGAUCGCAAGGCAGUGUCCCCUAGCAGUUCUGAAAAGAGAAGUAAGAAUCCUAUUUCUAGGCCAUUAGAAGGUAAGAAGUCCUUAAGUCUUAGUGCAAAGACUCACAACAUAGGCUUUGACAAAGACAGCUGCCAUAGUACCACAAAGACAGAAGCUUCACAGGAAGAGCGGUCUGAUUCAAGCGGCCUCACAUCUCUCAAGAAAUCACCAAAGGUCUCAUCCAAGGACACUCGGGAAAUCAAAACUGAUUUCUCACUUUCUAUUAGUAAUUCGUCAGAUGUGAGUGCUAAAGAUAAGCAUGCUGAAGACAAUGAGAAGCGUUUGGCAGCCUUGGAAGCGAGGCAAAAAGCAAAAGAAGUGCAGAAGAAGCUGGUGCAUAAUGCUCUGGCAAAUUUGGAUGGUCAUCCAGAGGAUAAGCCAACGCACAUCAUCUUCGGUUCUGACAGUGAAUGUGAAACAGAGGAGACAUCGACUCAGGAGCAGAGCCAUCCAGGAGAGGAAUGGGUGAAAGAGUCUAUGGGUAAAACAUCAGGGAAGCUGUUUGAUAGCAGUGAUGAUGACGAAUCUGAUUCUGAAGAUGACAGUAAUAGGUUCAAAAUUAAACCUCAGUUUGAGGGCAGAGCUGGACAGAAGCUCAUGGAUUUACAGUCGCACUUUGGCACCGAUGACAGAUUCCGCAUGGACUCUCGAUUUCUAGAAACUGACAGUGAAGAGGAACAGGAAGAGGUAAAUGAAAAGAAAACUGCUGAGGAAGAAGAGCUUGCUGAAGAAAAAAAGAAAGCCCUGAAUGUUGUACAAAGUGUUUUGCAAAUCAACUUAAGCAAUUCUACAAACAGAGGAUCAGUAGCUGCUAAGAAAUUUAAGGACAUCAUACAUUAUGAUCCAACGAAGCAAGACCAUGCCACUUACGAAAGAAAAAGAGAUGAUAAGCCAAAAGAAAGUAAAGCAAAACGAAAAAAGAAAAGGGAGGAAGCUGAGAAACUACCUGAGGUGUCUAAAGAAAUGUAUUAUAAUAUUGCUAUGGAUCUGAAAGAAAUAUUCCAAACUACAAAAUAUACCAGUGAAAAGGAAGAGGGCACACCCUGGAAUGAGGACUGUGGUAAAGAGAAACCUGAGGAAAUCCAGGACCCUGCAGCUCUGACCAGUGACGCUGAGCAGCCCAGCGGGUUCACGUUCUCUUUUUUUGAUUCAGACACUAAAGACAUAAAGGAAGACAGAGUCUCUGUCACCCAGGCUGGAGUGCAGUGGUGCAAUCUCGGUUCACUAGCAGAUAAUACCAACUCCGUGGUACUUUAAAAGGAAGUAUAACAAUCUAGUAGUUGUUCAAAAAGUAUUGCAAAUAAGACUUCAUUUUCUUGUCUAUAUAAACUGUUGAGUAGAGUUGGCAUGAUGUAAAUAGUAACGAUAGUUUUUCUAACUUUGAGAGCAAAACGUGAGAAAUUGACCUUGAAACGAGUCCUAAAGACAUCAGCAACUUGAAAGAUGUUUUUUAAGUACUUGGGAAAUUUUGAAGACUUGUGAGGUGAUUGUCCUGAUCUUAUAGCAGUAGUUUUUCCAGCAGUUCUAGCAAAAAGUUUUGGGUAUUGAAAAUGUAAAGAUAUAUUCCUUUUCUCAUUUAUAAAUAGACAAGAGGGAAACCUGAUUUCCCUGUAUCCUAUUAUAUUUUAGGCUUCUCAUGCAAGCACAGAUGCCAUGGUUAUUUUAGGUGUCAUUUUUAAAAAUUAUAUAGCUCAUUUAUAAACCUUUAUUUUUUAAACCUUUUUUAUAUUACUGCUGUCCUUAUCAGAUCAUUCUAGCAAUGCCAAAAUUAUGAUAGUGGCUUCUGAAAAUAUUUGAAAAAUCUAAAAAGAUGAUACUACCUAUUUUUUUGAUACUAUUUUAAAUUAAUGAUUAACAUAUUGGAACUUUAGAUAUGUCUACGUGGUAAAAGUAAUCAAAUGAAUGUGUUCAGAAAUACUUGGCUGUGGAGUUACAAUCCCAUCAUCUUUUGUUGUCAUAACGAUAUAGAGACCUACAGAGUUGAAACAGUGAAACCUGGAAAGAUUGUCUGGCAGGAAGACCCUCGUUUACAAGACAGCAGUUCAGAAGAGGAAGAUGUUACUGAAGAAACAGAUCACAGAAACUCCAGUCCUGGAGAAGCAUCAUUACUUGAGAAAGAGACCACUAGAUUUUUCUUUUUCUCUAAGAAUGAUGAACGACUUCAAGGUUCUGACUUAUUCUGGAGAGGAGUAGGAAGUAAUAUGAGCAGGAACUCUUGGGAGGCCAGAACAACCAACCUGCGUAUGGAUUGUCGAAAGAAACAUAAAGACGCAAAAAGGAAAAUGAAACCAAAAUAAUAAAUGUCAGCUGGUUUUGAUACUGAAUGUGAACAAGGCUCACCUAAGGAAACUGACCCAGAAAACAGUUUUAGCUGACAAAGAAGAAAUUUCAGAGUGAAGGAAUUUUAAAAAUCUGGCUGACGGAAUAUCAUUCUGGUUGCCAUCUUUUUCUGUGGAACUCCUCUGCAUUUCUUCCUAAGUAAUUACUUCAAAAAUUAAAUUCAACUUCUUAUAAAGGAAGAACAAGAUAGUCCUUGAAAAUACUUUUUGUAUAUAAUCUCUUUGCCCUCUAUCCUGAGUAACUAAUGGACAUCUUCUCAUGCAAGGUUUAUAUGAAGCCUUUUUAAAUAAAUGAGUCAAAGCACUUGUAUUUUCCAGCCUAGGCUUUGUGUGAAUUAUAGGCUAUUUGAAAUUUUAUUUCUGAUUAUGUCAAAUACACCUUCCAUUUUGUCAUUUUUGUUUAAACUGAUAAAUUACAAGUCAACAUUGAGUUUUA